GAGAGUAACUGUUCACGCAGUGACGGUAUCCAACCAGAAAGUCACGGCUAACUACGUGCCAGCAGCCGCGGUAAUACGUAGGUGGCAAGCGUUAUCCGGAUUUAUUGGGCGUAAAGCGAGCGCAGGCGGUUGCUUAGGUCUGAUGUGAAAGCCUUCGGCUUAACCGAAGAAGUGCAUCGGAAACCGGGCGACUUGAGUGCAGAAGAGGACAGUGGAACUCCAUGUGUAGCGGUGGAAUGCGUAGAUAUAUGGAAGAACACCAGUGGCGAAGGCGGCUGUCUGGUCUGCAACUGACGCUGAGGCUCGAAAGCAUGGGUAGCGAACAGGAUUAGAUACCCUGGUAGUCCAUGCCGUAAACGAUGAGUGCUAGGUGUUGGAGGGUUUCCGCCCUUCA
rnacentral:rRNA from 1 species